rnacentral:rRNA from 1 species
AAUCCAUAGGUUAAUGAGGCGAACCGGGGGAACUGAAACAUCUAAGUACCCCGAGGAAAAGAAAUCAACCGAGAUUCCCCCAGUAGCGGCGAGCGAACGGGGAGGAGCCCAGAGCCUGAAUCAGCAUGUGUGUUAGUGGAAGCGUCUGGAAAGGCGCGCGAUACAGGGUGACAGCCCCGUACACAAAAGCGCAUGUGCUGUGAGCUCGAUGAGUAGGGCGGGACACGUGGUAUCCUGUCUGAAUAUGGGGGGACCAUCCUCCAAGGCUAAAUACUCCUGACUGACCGAUAGUGAACCAGUACCGUGAGGGAAAGGCGAAAAGAACCCCGGCGAGGGGAGUGAAAAAGAACCUGAAACCGUGUACGUACAAGCAGUGGGAGCACAGGUUUACCUGUGUGACUGCGUACCUUUUGUAUAAUGGGUCAGCGACUUAUAUUCUGUAGCAAGGUUAACCGUAUAGGGGAGCCGGAGGGAAACCGAGUCUUAAUUGGGCGUUAAGUUGCAGGGUAUAGACCCGAAACCCGGUGAUCUAGCCAUGGGCAGGUUGAAGGUUGGGUAACACUAACUGGAGGACCGAACCGACUAAUGUUGAAAAAUUAGCGGAUGACCUGUGGCUGGGGGUGAAAGGCCAAUCAAACCGGGAGAUAGCUGGUUCUCCCCGAAAGCUAUUUAGGUAGCGCCUCGUGAAUUCAUCUCCGGGGGUAGAGCACUGUUUCGGCUAGGGGGCCAUCCCGGCUUACCAACCCGAUGCAAACUGCGAAUACCGGAGAAUGUUAUCACGGGAGACACACGGCGGGUGCUAACGUCCGUCGUGAAGAGGGAAACAACCCAGACCGCCAGCUAAGGUCCCAAAGUCAUGGUUAAGUGGGAAACGAUGUGGGAAGGCCCAGACAGCCAGGAUGUUGGCUUAGAAGCAGCCAUCAUUUAAAGAAAGCGUAAUAGCUCACUGGUCGAGUCGGCCUGCGCGGAAGAUGUAACGGGGCUAAACCAUGCACCGAAGCUGCGGCAGCGACACUGUGUGUUGUUGGGUAGGGGAGCGUUCUGUAAGCCUGUGAAGGUGUGUCGUGAG